CCUACGGGUGGCAGCAGUGAGGAAUAUUGGUCAAUGGUCGGGAGACUGAACCAGCCAAGCCGCGUGAGGGAGGCAGGUACAGCGUAUCGUAAACCUCUUUUAUCAGGGAACAAAGACUGGGACUCGUCCCCGGAUGAGUGUACCUGAAGAAAAAGCAUCGGCUAACUCCGUCCCAGCAGCCGCGGUAAUACGGAGGAUGCGAGCGUUAUCCGGAUUUAUUGGGUUUAAAGGGUGCGCAGGCGGUCUGUUAAGUCCGCGGUAAAAUCCCGGGGCUCAACCCCGGCCCGCCGUUGAAACUGGCAGGCUCGAGUUGGAGAGAAGUAUGCGGAAUGCGCGGUGUAGCGGUGAAAUGCAUAGAUAUCGCGCAGAACUCCGAUUGCGAAGGCAGCAUGCCGGCUCCACACUGACGCUGAGGCACGAAAGCGUGGGUAUCGAACAGGAUUAGAUACCCUUGUAGUC
rnacentral:rRNA from 1 species